rnacentral:rRNA from 1 species
UCGAGGAUCUUCGGCAAUGGGCGCAAGCCUGACCGAGCGACGCCGCGUGCGGGAUGAAGGCCUUCGGGUUGUAAACCGCUGUCAGUGGGGAGGAAACGCCGGUGGGUACUCCCAUCGGUUUGACCUAUCCGCAGAGGAAGUACGGGCUAAGUUCGUGCCAGCAGCCGCGGUAAGACGAACCGUACGAACGUUAUUCGGAAUUACUGGGCUUAAAGGGUGCGUAGGCUGUGCGGAAAGUUGGAUGUGAAAUACCUCAGCUUAACUGAGGAACAGCACCCAAAACUACCGUGCUUGAGGAAGACAGAGGUGAGCGGAACUUAGGGUGGAGCGGUGAAAUGCGUUGAUAUCCUAAGGAACACCGGUGGCGAAGGCGGCUCACUGGGUCUUUUCUGACGCUGAGGCACGAAAGCUAGGGUAGCGAACGGGAUUAGAUACCCGUGUAGUCC